rnacentral:rRNA from 1 species
UAUGUAGGGUGCGAGCGUUGUCCGGAAUUAUUGGGCGUAAAGAGCUUGUAGGCGGUUUGUCGCGUCUGCCGUGAAAAUCCGAGGCUCAACCUCGGACUUGCGGUGGGUACGGGCAGACUAGAGUGUGGUAGGGGAGACUGGAAUUCCUGGUGUAGCGGUGAAAUGCGCAGAUAUCAGGAGGAACACCGGUGGCGAAGGCGGGACUCUGGGCCGAUACUGACGCUGAGGAGCGAAAGCGUGGGGAGCAAACAGG